UACGUAGGGGGCAAGCGUUAUCCGGAUUUACUGGGCGUAAAGGGAGCGUAGACGGCAGUGCAAGUCUGAAGUGAAAGGCAAGGGCUCAACCCUUGGACUGCUUUGGAAACUGUGCUGCUGGAGUGUCGGAGAGGCAAGUGGAAUUCCUAGUGUAGCGGUGAAAUGCGUAGAUAUUAGGAGGAACACCAGUGGCGAAGGCGGCUUGCUGGACGAUGACUGACGUUGAGGCUCGAAAGCGUGGGGAGCAAACAGG
rnacentral:rRNA from 1 species